rnacentral:lncRNA from 1 species
CAGGACCCAGCAUGUCGGAGGUCAAACACCGCCGCUAGGCUGUGACAAGAUGGCAAAUGCCCUGCAAAGCAGCAGGCUUUCCCCUGUGGAGGGGCUGCUGUCCCCACUGGGCAGCACUUGGGGGCAGCCCCAGAGGCCUCUGUGAUGUCACAGAGCAGCACCCGUGACUUCUCCAACCUCACCGCUCUGCCGCGAGGUGCAUUUGGUUCAAGACUCCUGUGAGUUCAGAUGCGUGGUGUACAGUAUCCAGGAGCAUCCCGGGCUUCCUCAGUGUUGCACCAAUUUGUGUCCGUGUCUGCUGGGGUACUUCAGGUCCCCACAGCGCCUGUCCCGGGGCUGCGGGCACAACGAAGGUGCCAGGGUGCUUGGCACCAUUGUCGACACCCAGCCAGCUCCUCCGCCUUCUCUGACCUCCUCCUUCAGGCAGGACACUCCAUCCUGUGCCGAGGAGGAUCUGGAGCAGAGCGGUUCUGCAGGAACAGCCAGCGGGGGCCAGAUGCAGAAAGCGAGACCAUCGCAGGCAGCAGCAGGGGAAACAUGCCCCAACUGCCUGGGCACCACCAGAAACACCACCUACGUCUCCACCUGUUUCCACGCCUUCUCCUUCGGCUGCAUCCGGCAGAGGGGUGCCACGAGAUCCACGUGCCCGCUCUGCAGGCAGCCCAUCGACCGCAUCCUGCACACGGUGCGAGCUGACGACAACUCCCAGCAGCACGUGUGCAGAUCGUCCGCUCGCGGCCGCAGGAACGCCGCCAGGGAGAGGGUCCGCAGCAGAUCCCCUCAGCACCGCUACGACCUGCGCCCACGGCCCAGCAACAACGGCCCCACAGCUGGGAGAAGGGCGCUGUAGGGGAUCGGACAAGCAGACGGGGCUGGCGCAGCUCCAGGGCCCAUCAACGCUGCCCCCCAGCAGGCUGCAGGGCAGUGCCCCACCAGGCCCACCAGUGGAUCCAUCCUCCGCAUCGGCUUGCUGCUGCUGCAGCCUCUGUGCAUCCAGCUCCCCAACAGGACCAGCCACUGAACAGUGGCGACCUGACAAACACCAGGGCAGCGGCCUCCAAACCCAUCCACCAACAGCCAGGCUGAGGGUCCUCAAGGCCUACCGCUCCUUCUGCCAGCACAGCCCUGGCCCUGCUGGCUCCCCCCCGCUGCCCCCACACCCAAAUUUCAUCUGGCCCAGUAGCUCCUCUCACUCCCAAAGCCAGGCUCAUCCCACAACAGCUCUGCACAAGAAUCACACCCUGGAACGGCAGUCAGAACUGCACUGCCAAGCAGAUGCACAGUCUCUGUGCUUGCAGAUACCUCAAAGGCAUCUCAGCAUGGUCCUGAGACACCUCUUCUGGGUCAGCCUGCUUGAGCGGGAGGGUGGGACAACAAGACCUCCAGAGGACCUUUCCAACCUCAACCAUUCUCUGACUUUUUAG